CAGCAACAAGGAGACAAACCAACACUCUCGUCACGUACCUAAUGGCAGUAGUCCGGGUCUCUCUUUCCACUUUCUUAUCGAACAAGAAGUGCCACGCAAGCAACACGAGCCCUAACCACAAGGUGUUUUGAACAGACUUUCUAACUCCGUAGACGAAAUACAAAACCCUCUUUCUCAAAACGAAGUUCUUCUCGGCCGAGAAGACGAGGAUCCUCACUAUCCAGCUCGAGACUAGUCUCCCGCAAAUCAACACCAAAACCGUCACUUCCCAUUUCCACAGGUCCAGCUUCCACCAUGUCUUGCGCCGCAAGCUAUGUACCGUUAAGCUACAGACCAAACUGGUGACUAUCAGAACUAAACUUAUCCAUUCGAGCAAAACCCAAAUGCUGAGUUUGUCUCUUUUGAACACGUCCGGUAAGUCCUCGUCCAGAAACGGAUCUUCCUCCUCGUCUUCCUCCAGCGUCCCGGUUCGAGAUGGAGUUCCCGGUUUAGGGCUUUUUCCGAGAAAACCGGUUUUCCGACCGGAUCUCAUCUCUGUUUUGUCGAUAGCUGGAUGCGUCGGUGUUGGAGGAUCCAUAAGUCUUGACUUCGUCUGGUUCCUCCUCAGUAACGGUUUCUUCACGACCUCUGCUUCGUCUCUGUUGGCCUUGUAGUGACGGCUCUCCUCGUCGCUGCUCCCACCGAGUGAGAUUCUGUUCUGUCUCCUUCUCACCGCGUCGGCUUUUCCUUUCGCCGUGAACGGAGAAGACCUCCAUGUACUAGAACAGUAUCAAAAAUGUCUUGAACCCCAUUUCAAUCACUAUAUACUUAUUCUUGAAUCACAAAUUACUACUUCCAGAGAAUAGAAAACUGUUACCAAACCACUCAUACAUAUAUAUAUACAUACACAAAAAUCAUAUUCUGCUUGCUUACGCGCAAUGAAAAAUCCCUUACUUCCCUUGCUCAACAAGUCUUUACAGUUCAGGCACCGCGUUGAUGCAAACAAGCUGGAGGCAGACGGUCAGAAGUACCCGGAGUCACCGGAGGGAAACUUUUAAUAUUAAUGCCUUGAGGAUAUAAACGAUACUCAAUAUCAAGCUCUCUACAAGCUUUCCCAACUUCCUCUAGUAAUUGACUUCUCCUUAUAAACCUCUCUCCCAUGUCUUGAAAAUUCAUUCUGUGUGUCAACCACACCGCAAUCUUCACGCUUUUCAAGUCAUCCAUGUUUAGGAACACAAUCAUAGGUGCCGGAUACCAAUGAUCCUUCUUGAAGUCUAUAUAACUGCAUGAAAAAAAAACAAAUGAAAGUUUGGCCUUGAGACUUUAAAGUUUUACGAAUUAGUAUAUAGACAUAGCCUCCUAAAUUGUAAAGAAAAUAUUAUUUUUUUUUACUAAAAUGUCUAUAGCCUCAAGAUCUUAGCGUCUGAAUUUAACUAACCUGAUUAUUCUCUGUUUAAUAGCAGCUAUCUUUUCUGGAGGAGUUGCUAUGUGAACAGAGAAUUCAACCGCAUCUCCCAUAUCAGGACUUCGGAAGUAGUUAGCUAUAGGUUUUGUCCCAAGAACACUAUUCGGGUAUAUGAUCUUUUGAUUAUCGUACCGCAAGAAAACAGUCGUCAAUAUGUUCAUUUCUUCCACAACCAACUGGUAAAAGAAACAACAAGAUUAGAACCAUGUCACAAUAUUUUAAUAAGUCCAGCAGAUUAUUGUAUUAGGAGGGAACAAACCUGAACACCGUCAAUUUCGCAGCGGUCACCAACAUCAAAUGGGUGCAUAACGAAAAGGAAAAUGAUGGCUUCAAAGAUGGUUUUGCAUGAGUUUCCGAAUAUAAAGGCUACUAGAAGUAGCUGAGAGCUUAAGACUAGCAAGAACUUGGUUGUGGCGAUUCCUAGUAUAAGAAGCCAAAUGAUAAUGAUUAUAAUGCUAAUCAACACAUUGAUUAUGCGGUGAAGCCUGUUCACUGCUGUCUUUGUGUCGUUUAAGGUCAAUGCCAGAGCCCUCCGUUCUCUAAAUGCCUUAACCUGUGAAAAAAACGUCAAGAUAACUCUGUUUUGCAUAUGAAAAGAAUCUUGACAUAUAUAUCUAAUUUAGAACUUACCACCCAAUUCUUGAGGCAAGACUUGCUGAUCCUAAGGCUCUCUGAAGCUCCUUCAAAGAGAGCCAUGGCUCUUUCAGACUCCUCUUCAGACAGAAACCGCAAGAAGUCUUCCAUAUGUAUGUACCUAAAACCCGAUAAAAAGAAACUCAAGAUUUAAGCAUAAACCAUACUAAAAUUUUGGAGCUGUAGAUAAUUUAGUAAGAAUUUAAAUAAAUUUUGUUUUAUACAUUUUGAAAAAAUGUUUAUGGAUAUUAACUUUUAAAACAUUGAAGUGAUACGUCAAUGUUUCACUUGUCUAUGCACACUAAUGAUCAACUUCAAGAUAUAUAUACCUGGAACCAGGCUCAGUGACAUUGUGAAAAAUCUUCUUAGCUGCAAUCUUUGCUUCGCACUCGCUUCUUAUCUGCGUAGCAUGCUCACUCUCCUCAACUGUGUCCUGCAUAUGUUCAUCCAAGGUAGAAAGAGCGCCUUUUCGUAUUAUAUUCAUCAACUUGGUCAUGUUCCAAGCAGACACAUUGUCUGUAUUCAUCCUCUGCAACUGAUCAAUCCUUAUCCCUUCACCAUCUCCUUCUUUGUCAGAACCAACCCGAGACAGUCUCUGACCUUUCCCGGCUUUCAUAAAACUCUUAACCGUCGCUUUUAGAGCUGGAGGCAACUUAGCUCCAGCCAGUUUCUCUAAACUCUUAACAUCAUCCGUUACUUUCUGCUCUUCUUCCUCCAUUCUCUGAAUCUCCAUCAAAGGAGGUCCAGAGAGGGUUUCAAUCACGUACUGAGUGAACAAUGAUUCUUGAAUCCUAUCAAAGUAAGUGCUCAUGUGGAAAGAUGAAGCAAGAACCUUGACCAGAAGUGUCUUAAUCAACCAAAUGAUCACAGCAACAAGGAGACAAACCAACACUCUCGUCACGUACCUAAUGGCAGUAGUCCGGGUCUCUCUUUCCACUUUCUUAUCGAACAAGAAGUGCCACGCAAGCAACACGAGCCCUAACCACAAGGUGUUUUGAACAGACUUUCUAACUCCGUAGACGAAAUACAAAACCCUCUUUCUCAAAACGAAGUUCUUCUCGGCGGAGAAGACGAGGAUCCUCACUAUCCAGCUCGA
rnacentral:lncRNA from 1 species